GUGAAUGUAAUUUAUAUUUGUACUUGUCUGUUUUGUCAGUUAAUUGAUACGUUUGUUUGUUGUAUUUCACAUAUGAUGUGGGAGCUGAGAGGAGGGAUGGAGUGUUAAGAUCAAAUGGUAUGUGCUAAGAUGGGUUGAGAAAAGCCAGAGAUGAGAGGAGUAGUACUCCUAUUAAAUGGCCACCGAAUGAUUAGGGUUCACAGUUCAAAGAGAGAAGUAAACAAAUUUUAGGACAAGCCUUUGGGAUCGACUGCUGGUUCACGAACGCAUGAACUACUACUGGUGGUACACUGACAUGAGAGUGUUGGUGGGUCAUUGGUGGGUUGAUGGUAGACUGUUGGUUCACAGACAUAUUUUCAAAGCUUCACGGAUACCACAUAUUUUUGUCUCUUUAUUUUGUAUAUGCUUGCUAUAAAGAUGACCUGAAUGAUAUUCUUACAAACGCCA